CGAGCGGCGAACGGGUGAGUAACGCGUGGAUAACCUGCCCAGAGGUGGGGAUAACCCGGGGAAACUCGGGCUAAUACCGCAUAUGACCGUGAGGUCAAAGGGGGCUCGCAAGAGCUCUCGCCAUUGGAGGGGUCCGCGUCCGAUUAGCUAGUUGGUAGGGUAAUGGCCUACCAAGGCGACGAUCGGUAGCCGGCCUGAGAGGGUGAUCGGCCACACUGGAACUGAGACACGGUCCAG
rnacentral:rRNA from 1 species